rnacentral:rRNA from 1 species
UACGGGGGGGGCAAGCGUUGUUCGGAAUUACUGGGCGUAAAGGGCUCGUAGGCGGCCAACUAAGUCAGACGUGAAAUCCCCAGGCUCAACCUGGGAACUGCGUCUGAUACUGGAUGGCUUGAAUUCGGGAGAGGGAUGCAGAAUUCCAGGUGUAGCGGUGAAAUGCGUAGAUAUCGUUUGGAACGCCAAUGGUGAAAACAGGUUGCUGGGGAGUGUGCUGACGCUGAGACACGAAAGCCAGGGGAGCGAACGGG